AGUCGUGGCCUAGUGGAUAGGGUGAUUGGCUGGGGAUCAAAAGGUCGCUGGUUCGAUCCCCAGCUCAACUA